UACGUAGGGUGCAAGCGUUAAUCGGAAUUACUGGGCGUAAAGCGUGCGCAGGCGGUUAUGCAAGACAGAUGUGAAAUCCCCGGGCUCAACCUGGGAACUGCAUUUGUGACUGCAUGGCUGGAGUGCGGCAGAGGGGGAUGGAAUUCCGCGUGUAGCAGUGAAAUGCGUAGAUAUGCGGAGGAACACCGAUGGCGAAGGCAAGCCCCUGGGCCUGCACUGACGCUCAUGCACGAAAGCGUGGGGAGCAAACAGG
rnacentral:rRNA from 1 species